CAUGGCUUCUCACUGGCUGUGUCCUUGCCAGCAGAGGAGUCCUGUCUUCUCCCUGUUGGGCUCUGCUAUCUUCUCAGGCCGUGAGAGCUCCCCCAUUCUGGUCCCCCAAGUCUGUUUAGUUGAGGCUUCUGUUAAUUUUUUGCACACCCAUUCAUUUAUCAUUUCAAUGUCACUUCAGAUGACGUUUGAGGAUGUAAAGCACUGUGAUCAUAAGACUCUAAGUAGGGAAGUUCUCUGACAGUGUCACUCGCGUAGGAGAGGAAGCUCUGUCUGAAAUCGUUCGAGUCUGGACAUUGUGAUUAGUGCCCAAAGAAAAUCUGUGCAUUUGACUGCUACAGUGGGGAUGCUUUGAGUCACCCCCAGAGGAUGAGCCAUUGUGAAGUGAGUCAUUGUGAAGGAUAUUUGCUCAGCCACACUUUUCCUAUAAACCCAUCACACCGAACUUUGGGUUUCAAAUUGAAGAAUGAGGAGGAAUAAGGCAGGUAGAAGUUACCUAAGACCAUUUGGUGUGUGGGCUUCACCUCUAUGCAAGUUAAUGAGAUGGGGCUGAAAAUGCCAAGACUCUAAAAGGAAUCAGAACAUCCCCCUCCAUUCCUUUCAGGAUAUUUUAAUGAUUAUGAUCCUAUUACAGAUACAGCAUUUUCUUUUCCCUCUUUAAAGAAGUAGGAUGAGUAAAGGAAACAGACAACUAACAUUAAAUUGCCAAAGUCAAGGAGGAAACACCCCAUCGUGUCCUGGGCUGGAGGCCCUCCUGAAGGGUCUGUUCCUUGUGAUGUGAUUUCAGCUUUCAUCCACUCCCCUGGCUGGAUCCGUCACACUGGGGAUGACUACCUGAACACUGGGAGCUGAAAGUCUCUUCUCUGGCGUCACAGCUGCAGUGCGGGGCAGGCAGUUCCCUGUCCAAGAAUCAAACCUGUGACCCUUGCAGUGGAAACAGUCUCAACCACUAGACCACUAGCCCCACAGGCCACCGUGUUCUCUCUACCGAGAUGCAUCCUAGGUUCAGAGGGACAUGGUGGUAACUCUCAUCUGCUGCACAGCCUCACCGGAGGUUUAUUUACAAUGUACAACCCAGACACGCCAGCUGCCGCAUACUAAAAGGAUGUCCUAGGUGACCCGGGAACUCAGUGCUCCGUGGUGGCCUAAAUGGGAAGGAAGUCUAAAGAAAGAGGCCAUGUGUGCUUGCAGCGGAAACUGACAACACUGUAAAGCAACUGCACUCCAAGAGAAAAGAGACUGAUUCGUGUAGUGACUGAGCGCUGGGCAGUCUGAAACGUGCAGGGUGAGCUGCAGACCCAGGGAAGAGUGGCUGUUGACCUUGGGCCUGAAGGCCAUCUCCUGGCAGAACCCCCUCUUCUUCAGGGGACCCCAGUCUUUUCCUCUUAAGGCUUUCUAACUGAGUGAAGGAGGCCCACUCACAUCAUGGAGGAUAAUCUGCUUUACUCAAAUUCUACCAGUUUCAAUGUUAAUCUCACCCGAAAACUAUCUUCGUGGCAGCAUCUAGACUGACUGUAUAACCAAAAUUAUCUGGGUGCCCUGACCUCACCAAGCUGACACAUGAAAUUAAUGGUCAGAGGCGGUGGGCCUGGUACACAGAGAAGCCCUCUAACAAGCUCUGUGGCGUCCUGACGCCUUUCUGGAGAGUAAGUGUCUCUGAGAAGCAUUCUCCGGCCACUUUUACUGAGCACAUCAGUUACGUAAUGGGGGAAAUUCAGAUAACUGGACACCAACUAGGUUCUGGUGCGUUUGUAAAGUUUCAAAGAAGCAGAAACAAUCAUCAUUUUCCUUUUCUGGAUAAUGAAGCUGGCUUUGAAAUAUAUGAAUAUCAGAAGAGUGUCCUGAGGCAAAGCAGAUAUACCACUGUUUAAGGAAACGAUCCAAUUUGGGAGCAAGAACUGUGCUUUCCAUUGGCGUACAGGUAAGAAGAUUCUGACCUUCUGAUGAUAAGAGUGUAUUAUUUCCGUAGCAGCAGGGGACCCAGCACACAGUCUGAGAAGUAAAGAGAUUUGCAAUUUACAUUUUCACUGUGAUAUGUGGGGGGGGGAGAAAAAAAGAGAGAUGUGGAAAUAGAGCUUUCUUUAGAGUUAGCCUACACACCUACAACCCAUGAUAAGAAUUAGAUGUAGUUAGCCUUAGAAAUGAUAAGUUUAGAUACUGUGCAGUGCUCAGUACUUUGGGAGAGAAGGAGAUAGGAGAAUGAAAUGGGAAGAUGCAUUCAAGCACUAAAUAGAGAUGUUAAGAAAAGCUCGCAGCAGAUGAAGUUAUUAUUCACCUGAUGUGUUGCUAUCUCUCAGAUCACUGGAUACACCUUAAAAUGCAAAUUGCUCCUAUCUAGAUACUGGCAAUUUUUUCCCCCUCUCUCUUCAGGAGUUAAUAUUGGUUUUCUAUGCAGGGCCCUGUUUUUCAACUGCCAAAGUCCUACGUAAAGGCAGAGUUGUUUUAAUCCAUUCCCACAGGUUCCUCCUGCUCUUGGAGCCUGUACUGUCCUUUACUGUUUAGUUCUGAAGCGUCUACUGGUAACACCGGCUUCUGAUAAAGAGGAAGUUAAACCGAUCUACAGAAACAUACUUGUUUGAUCAUAGCUGUUUGAUCAUGUGCGUAAUAACAAUGAAUUCCAACUCUAAUUUUCAGAGUCCUGGUUUUGAUUCUUAUGUAAUAAUGAUCAGUAGCAGAAGAGGCCACUUGAAAAUGGCACUUUGGCAUAAGGAUUCACUUGAGCUGAUGGCAACAGAGAGCAGGCAGAUGCAGGAAGAGCUCUCUGUCUUCCCCUACGUGCCUGAAAGCAGGACAUACAUUUGUAAAGGUGUCCUGUCUCCUCUCUACCAGGAAGGACAGAAGUUAAUCACCUACAGCAACUCUAAACUCCAGACCCGAGAGAGCACCAGAGGAGUCUACACAAUAAAGGUGACUGAUCACCCUUAUCUUCCAUUAUUUCCCUGUAUAUUUAUCUUGCCACAAUUUGCUGCCCUGGACACUCAGAGUCCUUUUCUUUUGUCUUAUCACUUCUCUAAAAAUUUAUCGAUCUUUUUGUUAAGAUGCCAAGUAAGCUCAAGUUCUAACCAGCCCUUUGAGUUACUUAGCUCUGAGUGUUGCCUUGGUAUGAGAGACACACGUGUUAAUAAACUUCUGUUUUUCUUUUGUGGAUCUGUUAGGGGAAACACUGACUGAAACCACCCCCCUUGGCCAGGAAAGAUAGUAGCCACUUGCACAAGGAUUCUUAACAACAGGAAGACCUGGGAAGGAAUGUGGAACUAACAAGCUACUACCGACUGGAAGAAUUCAGGAAUGGCCCAAAGGAGACACCACCUGUCCUACCUACCAACCUCCCACAAUCCUCCUUGCUGGAAUCCAUCUGGCUGAGUGACGGGUGCACCGCUAGGCAGGACCCUGAGUCAGUGAUUGGCCAGAGACAACCCUGGAAGUAAUCCCAACACCGUAAAACCCAAGACCAGGGGGCAGAGCCAUCCUCCUGGGCUCUCCUUCCCAACAGUCUCCUGCUUUGUCAGCCCCUGUGUCUCCUAGAACAAUUCAUUUCCAAGUGUUAGACAAGAGCCCCCUCUUAUCCUGGAAGGGAUCCACCUUCCUGCCAAAGAUCUGUCUUUGCAGGGCCCUAGAGAACCAAGGAGGGUGGGGGGAAAGGUUUUGAUCCUUUCCCUACAAUAAUAAAGCAUGCUGUUACAAAUAUUAAUACUUUCUCCUCCUCUAUUCUAUUUUCUAAGUAAUACACUCUUACCCUCACCCACUUAUAAUGCUAAAUAUUUAAUUCUUUGAGUUCAUAAAAACACCUCAUUUGCUAUAUUUCCUAGAUUCUAAAACCUUAGCAAUAGCAUACCUUAUUUUUUUCUGAAAUGUUAUAAAAUUUAUAAACUAAAUAUAAGUUAUGGUAUCAAAUGUGAUAUUAGGCCAUAAAACUAAAAUUAAUAUAAUUUAUACAUCUAUGCUUGUGGAUAAAACUAUGAAGUAAAGCAAAUUAAUGAAAAAAGGGGAUGUGUCAAUGGAAA
ensembl:lncRNA